CGGGGAGCAGACUGUGGUUGCCUGUGUCAGAAUCAGGAUCUGGAAUUGAAGAGAAAACUUGGGCAUGGAUUUUGUUCAAAGCAUUUGCGAGUUCAGUUACAUAAUCUACUAAAACAUCAGUUUGAAGUUGUAGUUGUUGGGGAAAAUAGCAACCUAGCCUAGGUGCAGUCCCAAAUAGAAUCUCAUAUGGGGACAGUGAGGUAGCAUUUUGUACAAGAGCAUUCAUUAGAUCCUUUGAUAAAUGUGCAGGUCCGUGUGCCCAUUGUACGACUGCUGGGUACAAAUUCUUAGGGAGGCAGAAAUUGACACUCCAUCCUUCAGAACUGCCCCUUUCUGUUUCCACUUCUGUAUUUCUUCAGGGGCAACUGUAGCCUGUUGUUCCAGCAGGAUUUUCAGGUCAGUUGGAAGAGUCUGCAGAGUAAAUAUGGGAGUUUCUUCAUUUCCGGACACUCUUCUUUCCACUUCCUGUGGUUCUUUUGCAGCUUGUUUUGCAGCCUGAUCAGCUAGAUGGUUGCCCUUUGCUUCAUCUGAGUCCAACUUCCCAUGUGCUUUUAUCUUUAAAAUAGCCACUUCUUCUGGGAGUAGGAGGGCGUCCAUCAGCUCCUUGAUUGCGGAACCGUGCUUGACUGGUGUACCGGCGGUGGUAAGAAAUCCUCUUGUUUUCCAAAUUAAUCCGAAGUCGUGAGCCACGCCCAGUGCAUAUCUUGAAUCCGUGUAGAUAUUGGCGCGCUUUCCUUCAGAGAUCUUGCAUGCUGAAGUCAGGGCUUGCAAUUCAGCUUCUUGUGCAGACAUAGUUGAUGGUAAAGAUGAUGAUUUGACAAUUUCAUCUGUUGUGGUUACGGCAUAUCCUGUAUGGUAUCU